AAAUAAAAAAAAUCAUUUCCUUUAAGCAUAUAGAAACUUUUAAUUUUAACCAUAACUGAAAUGUAUUAACAUCUAAAAAUGGAACUGUCACCGGCACAGGGUGGGCCAGUAUUAAAUAGUGUUACAGUAGGAGACAGCAUUAGGAUGUUAACGCCAGGUCUUUUGUUCAACGGUCGCUUCUCUUGCCUUUCCCCCAUGAACUGAAGCACAGCAGUCAAGAGAUCCAAAGACGAGUUGAUGACAUUUCCAAGUGCUAAAAUAGCAAUCGAUGUCUGUCUUGCAUUGGCCAGUGUUGACUGGAGAGAUGUUUUAUUGAGAAUAAGCUUCAAGGUGAGAAACAGCAGCCCAAAAAGACCCCUGUAGCUGAUGGUGUAGCUCAGUUGGGA